rnacentral:rRNA from 1 species
UACGGAGGGGGCUAGCGUUGUUCGGAAUUACUGGGCGUAAAGCGCACGUAGGCGGCUUUGUAAGUUAGAGGUGAAAGCCCAGAGCUCAACUCUGGAACUGCCUUUAAGACUGCAUCGCUUGAAUUGUGGAGAGGUAAGUGGAAUUCCGAGUGUAGAGGUGAAAUUCGUAGAUAUUCGGAAGAACACCAGUGGCGAAGGCGGCUCACUGGCUCGGUACUGACGCUGAGAUACGAAAGCGUGGGGAGCAAACAGG